UAAGACUUCAGGUGGUAAAUAAACAGAAACAGCAGGAGCCCUAGAAAUAGAGAGGCAUAAACCUUCUGCUCUUCUGAAAAUAUUCCUGAGGACAGCAACGAAAAUAGAGAAGAAAGAAAGGAAACAUGGCAGGAAUAUUUCACAGGUUAUUGUUUAGAGGAUUAUAAUAAUCAGAAAUUGAUUUAUGCCUCGUAUUCCAUGGGAAAGAUGAGGAAAUGUGGCUAAAUUGGAGUUUAGAUGCAGAAAUUGAAGUUUCAAGAGCUUCAAGAUGCCCUUGCCCAAAAGUCCCAUGAGUGCUUCCUUCCUUUCCCACAGCCUGUGGCAAAACCAGUCUCAGAAAUUUCCAACUGGCAGAGAACAAAGGAAAGCCACUGAAAAUGUGGAGGUGACACUAUCUGCUCCUCCUGGCACAAGCUUCUCAGGGGAACUAAUCUCUUCAGGCUCCACAGAUAUCAGAGAAACAAAAUCCGGGAGGAAAGUAAGGAGUCACCAGUUCAAAUCCCUUCGUUUUUCAGUUUUAGAAACAAAAUGCAGAAACAUUAAACAAUUUGUCCAAAAUCAUUUUGCUUCUAGUGUGAUGCUAGCAUUAAAACCAUCAGCAGACAACCUAUCUGACUUCCGGUUCAGCGCUUUCUCUAAAGCCUUUUUAGCAGACAAGCUGUUGUCAUAAAGCCACUGAACAUCAUGCCGAGAAAGAUGGCACUGCCAUUUGUGUGUUGUGACUUGCUCCUUCACAGAUGAACGUUUCAGAAAUCCGCACUUUUACCUCUCUCAGGCUAAGACAAAACAUAUAAGACCUAAUAACCAUAAUCUGUGAUGCCAAAGGCCUUAAUGGCAAAAUGUGUUCUCAGAGUAUUUGAAGAUUUUUAAAGAAUUUCACACCAUGUGGAGGUUUGAAUGACAAGGUUGGCAGACCAUGAAAAGAGGGUCCAUUCUAAUCAGACCUAGAGACCUGCCUGAGUAUCCAUCCAUCCAGUCUUCUGUGUGUCAACAGCACCUG